CCCUGGCUCAGGACGAACGCUGGCGGCAUGCCUAAUACAUGCAAGUCGAGCGGAGUUUUGUUGAAAGCUUGCUUUCAACAGGAUUUAGCGGCGGACGGGUGAGUAACACGUAGGCAACCUGCCCCAUAGCCUGGGAUAACUACCGGAAACGGUAGCUAAUACCGGAUAAUUCCUUUCCCCACCUGGGAAGAGGAUGAAAGACGGAGUAAUCUGUCGCUGAGGGAUGGGCCUGCGGCGCAUUAGCUAGUUGGUGGGGUAACGGCUCACCAAGGCGACGAUGCGUAGCCGACCUGAGAGGGUGAACGGCCACACUGGGACUGAGACACGGCCCAGACUCCUACGGGAGGCAGCAGUAGGGAAUCUUCCGCAAUGGGCGCAAGCCUGACGGAGCAAUGCCGCGUGAGUGAUGAAGGUUUUCGGAUCGUAAAGCUCUGUUGCCAGGGAAGAACGUCUUAUAGAGUAACUGCUAUAAGAGUGACGGUACCUGAGAAGAAAGCCCCGGCUAACUA
rnacentral:rRNA from 1 species